GAUGAACGCUGGCGGCGUGCCUAAUACAUGCAAGUCGAGCGAACGGACGAGAAGCUUGCUUUUCUGAUGUUAGCGGCGGACGGGUGAGUAACACGUGGAUAACCUACCUAUAAUACUGGGAUAACUUCGGGAAACCGGAGCUAAUACCGGAUAAUAUUUUGAACCGCAUGGUUCAAAAGUGAAAGACGGUCUUGCUGUCACUUAUAGAUGUAUCCGCGCUGCAUUAGCUAGUUGGUAAGGUAACGGCUUACCAAGGCAACGAUGCAUAUCCGACCUGAGAGGGUGAUCGGACAAACUGGAACUGAGACACGGACCAGACUCCUACGGGAGGCAGCAGUAGGGAAUCUUCCGAAAUGGGCGAAAGCCUGACGGAGCAACGCCGCGUGAGUGAUGAAGGUCUUCGGAUCGUAAAACUCUGUUAUUAGGGAAGAACAUAUGUGUAAGUAACUGUGCACAUAUUGACGGUACCUAAUCAGAAAGCCACGGCUAACUACGUG
rnacentral:rRNA from 1 species